UACAGAGGGGGCAAGCGUUGUUCGGAAUUACUGGGCGUAAAGGGCGCGUAGGCGGCCUUCUAAGUCGAACGUGAAAUCCCCGGGCUCAACCCAGGAACUGCGUCCGAGACUGGGGGGCUAGAAUCCGGGAGAGGGAUGUGGAAUUCCAGGUGUAGCGGUGAAAUGCGUAGAUAUCUGGAGGAACAUCGGUGGCGAAGGCGGCAUCCUGGACCGGUAUUGACGCUGAGGCGCGAAAGCCAGGGGAGCAAAGCAGG
rnacentral:rRNA from 1 species